GGGGAUGGCGGUCGUGAGGGGGCGAUUCGAUUCUUUUUCUCUCUCCCGCUUUCUCCUCCACUACCACCACCGUCACCGGCCGGGUUCUUGAUGCGUGAUUGAAUAUUUUUUCGCUAUGUGCGAUUGGUUCGUCGUAACGGUGGCAGGCAGAAUGGACGAAGGAGGUGGGGAGAGUAGAGAGGGUGGCCUACGGCGACGGCAGCGGCGGCGGUGGCGGCGGUAGUGGUGGUUGCAGCCACCUGUCAAGCAAAAGAAUCGCCAUGGUAACCAGGCCCCGCCGCCAUCGGCCGAAGGGGCUCGUUCGCCGGGGGUGGCGACCCGGACUCGUAGGGAUGCCCGCAAGGUUCAUAUUGAAUUUUAAGAAAGUUUCCAUCGGUAGCGCGGAGAGACGAGCGAACUAUACCCGGACAGAAAGCGAGAAAAGGGUCGCGGAGGUUGCGCUAGCAAGCAUCUCCACAUCUUUACAAUUUACUUUAUUAAAAGAAAAAAAUUUAUCAUUUGCGAUAGAAUUUCAGAUGUUGACGAUCUUAUAUGCACAUAGUAUUUUUUUUAGUUUUUUCCAACGGCUGAUACCAGUGUCAUUAGAACAUAAAGAAAACACAGAUUUAUCUUAUUUUGAUCGAAUGAACAGGGAGAGAAUCUGUAAAAGAGCAAGUCAUAAACUUCUUCACUCAAUGCAAUGUGUGAUUAAAAAUGAGUGGGUUAAACAACUUUGUGCGCGAGGAUGACGCGACGGCAGAACUAAUGGAGACAACGAGACGACUUUCUCCGUCUGCGGGGUCUCCGUGGGGCGGAAAAACACGGCGUCUGAAUUCGCCGGGCGAACCACGCGCGCGGGAAGAGGCCGCAACCCCCCGAGGGUCGAGACCGAGCGAGGGAAAGUGAGGAACAGAGAACCUCGGCCCCCGUGAGGGGGCGACGGGAGGAAUCGGAGGCCCUGUAAUGAUCUUACGGCCCUGGUAACUUUUUUAAUCAGCGCCCGGUUUAAUUAUACGGUCGAUGAGGAGGUACUCGCGCUCCUCCCCCCCCCCCCUCGGUCGCUCUUCUGGUGCUUCAAUCUCCCCGUCGACUCGUUUCGGUUCACCCUCUCUUCUUCCUCCCGACGAUCCCAUCUCCUCGCGUCGAGCCCUCGACGCAGCAGACCCGGUCAGUCGUCCUAACUAGGCACCGACUCGCAAACAAGAUUUGACUUAUUGCGCCCGAGCGAUUUCUCCGGCGUUUUCUCUUGGUCUUCGUUCCACGCGGGCGAGAGCUACGAGAAAACGGGGCAACCGCCUCGGGAAAUUCCGAAAUGCUUUUAAUUGGAAGACCGCGACCGCGAGCCGAUACCGCGAUGAUCAGGGAGCGCAGAAUGGACGCGGAUCCACGCCUCUUGAUGGAGAAUUCGCCGAUGAAGUGCAUUAUCGUUAAUUAGCGAGCACGCUCGGGAACGAUCUCUUUCCCGCUUUCCCUUCUUUUGUUUCUUAAGUAAUAUGUAUUUACUUUUGAUGAUCAUCCUAUUCGAUACGCUUUUAAUAUGCAUAUGUUAUGAACUUUUAUUAUCAUUUUGAAAGGAAAGCUCUUCUCAUUUACCUCAUUUACAUUGCGAACUAAUAGGCACCAUGAGCUGUCACAAUUUUAAAAUGAGAAAGAAUACGAUGACGGAGCAUUCCUAUUAUAGUUGGAAUGGCAAAUACAGUCCAUCACAAGUAA
rnacentral:lncRNA from 1 species